CGGAGGAGAGGCAGAAGCUGGAGGACUGAGGAUGCGACCGCACUCACCUGAGAGCGGACUCUCUACCCGAUGGGCCCGAUGUCCACGCAGAGAAAGAGCCAUCCGGGGGGGCUCGUUACGACCUGAGGAGUUGAGGACAUUUGUCUCCAGAGUCCGCUUUGCUUCUGAAAGAGAUCACGUCAGCAUCGCGUCGGGCUUCAGCAGAGAGCGAGAGGGGGUCUGUUUCUGUCUUUGGUUAUCUAGCUGUAUGAGUUUUAAAUGCCUGUCAUAAAGCUAGAUAACCGAAAGUAGAAAUGACUUCCGGAGCGUUGUGUUCAUCCCCGAAAGAUGCGGGACACCUCGAGCUUUCACCUCCCAAAAAGGAGACAUUUAACGUGUCACGGCGGAAAGCACAGGUGUUUCCAAUACCACCAACAAAGGCUCGCUUCUAUUUCCAUGCUUCCAUUGAAUGAUGGUGGAUCCCUGAAAGGAAGAGCGAGGAGGGGAAAAAGUGGUCGGUCCGGAAUCGCUACCUCCUCCUCCUCCUCCUCCUCCUCCUCCUGUCCGCUCCCCCCCCCCCCCCCCCCCCCCCCCCAUUCUUCGUCCUUUUUUUUUUUUUUUGGCCCAAGAGCCUCUAAUGCCAUCUGUGCUGCCAACGGGUGGGACACCGGCCGUGCCAGCACGCGGACAAAGACCCUUCCGGAUCCCCCGGGGCGCGGGCACGCUCACAGGAGCCAUCUUGGGGAGACGUUGCCGCGCGGCGGCGGCACCUAAAAUGGCAGACUGGCACACGAGGACGGGACGGGAUCUGCGAGCCUCUCUGCACUCUGAGAGGAGAUCCUCGACCAAACUCAACCAAAUGUAGUCCCCAGAAGGUCUAAACGAGUCCUGUGUGGCAAAGGACUGAAAGUAAAGAGCUGUUGUGUAAGCCGGAAAUGUUUGAUUCGGAUAUGCAUGUUAUUGCAUUAAUCUGUGUGAUCCACCAUGUUUACGUGCCUUACUUUUAAAUCGUCCUCACUGAUAUAUCACAUUCUAGUCACUGCAUUUACAUGUUUUAAUGCAAUGUAAUUCAUAAUAUAUGAAAUUGUUGUUCUCCUAUGCCUGAAUUGAAGUAGUAAUUUCUUUGAAAUAAAUCUAUAAAUGAAAAUA